rnacentral:rRNA from 1 species
UACGUAGGGCGCAAGCGUUGUCCGGAAUUAUUGGGCGUAAAGAGCUCGUAGGCGGUCUGUCGCGUCUGGUGUGAAAUCCCAUGGCUCAACUGUGGGCUUGCAUCGGGUACGGGCAGACUAGAGUGCGGUAGGGGAGACUGGAAUUCCUGGUGUAGCGGUGGAAUGCGCAGAUAUCAGGAGGAACACCGAUGGGCGAAGGCAGGUCUCUGGGCCGCAACUGACGCUGAGGAGCGAAAGCAUGGGGAGCGAACAGG